rnacentral:rRNA from 1 species
UACGUAGGGCGCAAGCGUUGUCCGGAAUUAUUGGGCGUAAAGAGCUCGUAGGUGGCUUGUCGCGUCUGUCGUGAAAGCCCGGGGCUUAACUCCGGGUCUGCGGUGGAUACGGGCAGGCUAGAGGCAGGUAGGGGAGAAUGGAAUUCCCGGUGUAGCAGUGAAAUGCGCAGAUAUCGGGAGGAACACCGGUGGCGAAGGCGGUUCUCUGGGCCUGUACUGACGCUGAGGAGCGAAAGCGUGGGGAGCGAACAGG